rnacentral:lncRNA from 1 species
CUUCCAGGGAAUCCGCUCACAGUUCCUUGGCACAACAAUCUGUGGCACCCAGACUUACUGGGAACUGCUGGAGCACAAUGUGCGUGUGCUUCCCUAGUCAAGGGAGAGAACUUUCUGCCUUCAAAUGUUAGCAGAAACCUGGAUUCCUCUAGUGGGGAGAAUAGGAGGCUAAAGCAAUAAACAAACGGAUAGACGGAGGAACGCUGUGCAUUGUGGGUGUCUGAUGCAUCAUCCUCUGAGGUGGGUGAGAGAUGCUUUCUCCUUUCUACGACCCAGGAUCAGAGGCAAGGAAAGCACCAAGAGCACACACUAAGAUGUUUUCAAAGGUCAUCUAAUGGCUGCAAGAUGGCUGCUGCACCCUAGAUUUCACAGUGGCAUUCCUCACAGCAGGAAGGAAGAAGGAUCAAGAACAAAAGUUCCUCUCCACUCUCCUGAAGAAACCCAGUGGAGCAAUGUGGAGGACAAUGAUAGCUGGAAAGCCCACAGAAUCAGCAUCUGGAAAUGGAAGUUGACAGCUGCACUUGUAAAAACGAAAGGAAGAUAUCCUCGGGCUUAAGAUACAGGGCAUCCUAAUAUCAGGGUUCUGUUCAUCUCCAUCCAACCUCAAACUGUUUGCCCAGUUAGCCAAUAUGUGUACAAGAGGAGACUCUCUGGAAGCCAGGGCAACAUCCACACAUCUAGUGUAAAAGUCACUGUACAUGUAAAUGGCUACAAACCACCAAAUCUAGCACCUAAAAGUCAAUGUACAGGUAGGCCAACUCAUCUCCCCACCUCCCAAGGCCUGUGCCAUUCCAACGUCACCAACAUAAGUAGAAGUUAGAAAAUAGUAUAGUUAGCUACUAAAAAUAUCAUCUUUCUAUAUUUUAUCACAUUCAUUUCAUUUCUCAGCUUUCUAAAAUGAAUGCCUUGAGGUCUCCCUUUCAUUGCCUUUUAUUAGCUUACAUUCUUAAUUUUAUACUCCAAGUUUGAGUUAUUAUUUUUAAAGAAGAACUUAAUUACAUCAAAAUCAGAUCUCAAGGAAGGAGUCUGCCCUUGACCAAGAAUGCACCACUUACAGACACCAGGAGAAAACUGUUAAAAGAUUUAUAGAAAGAAAUAAGUUGGACACAGAAGGGAGAUGUGGAUUCAAGAGACAACAAGACCAAGCUGGAGAGAUGACUCAGUGGUUGAGAGCACUUGCUGUUCUUGUAGGAGUUCAGACCCACCACCUACGACAGGCAGCUGAUAACCACCUAUAGUUUUAGUGCUUGGGAUCUAAUGCCUGCUCUCUUCUGGCUUCUGGGAGCACCUGCACACAAGUGGACACACACACACACACACACACACACACACACACACACACACACGGAUAUACACAUAAAGAAAAAGAAAAAAGAGGCAACGAAACAAAUAAGCAAAGGUUAAUGCUAACAAAUCAUUUCUCAUGGUACCAGAUGUGGCCCAAGUGUGUGUUGUGGUCUUGGGUUCCUCUGUGAUCCACUUUUGCACACCUCCAGUCUCAUUCAACACCACUACUUCCAGAUACUAGAGAACGGUCCACACACAUCUGCUAAGUGAAUGGGUUAUAAAAACACUGAGAGCUUAAAUGAAAUGCAUUUCUUUCAGCACUUGUUACAUCGAAGUUGUUUGAAAAUGAGACAUCAUUCAUAGGCUCAUGUGUUUGACACCUAGUCGCCAGCUGGGGGUGCUGUUUUGGAAGGUUGUAAAAACUUUUAGGAGAUGGAAGCCCACUGGAGGAAAUGUCUCUAGGAAUGAACCUUUAGACUUUAUAGCCAAGCCCCACUUGUCCAUUUUCUUUGUUGAAUGGCAAGCAUGUCACCAGCUGCCUCAUAAUGGUGCCACCAUGCCAUUCCUAUGCCAAGGUGGACUGCAGUUCUUCUUAAACUCUAAGCCCAAAUAAUGGUUUCCUCCCUUAAGCUGCUGUCUGCUGGGUGUGGUGGUUUG